rnacentral:rRNA from 1 species
AUACGGAGGGUGCGAGCGUUAAUCGGAAUUACUGGGCGUAAAGCGCACGUAGGCGGCGUGUUAAGCUGGAUGUGAAAUCCCCGGGCUCAACCUGGGAACUGCAUCCAGAACUGGCAGGCUAGAGUACGGUAGAGGUGAGUGGAAUUUCCUGUGUAGCGGUGAAAUGCGUAGAUAUAGGAAGGAACAUCAGUGGCGAAGGCGGCUCACUGGACUGAUACUGACGCUGAGGUGCGAAAGCGUGGGGAGC